CAAAAUGUCACUCCGGACCAUUAUUUUUUAGCGAAAGAGCGAAUGUGAGUGAAACUCGGGUUAGCUGGUUUUUAUACAUGCAGUGCCGCUGUGCGGAAAUUGCUUGCAGCUGGCAUCGAUGUUCCCAAAACGGCAAAAGCUGAGAAAAUCCAAAGGGAUGCAGUAUAUUUCAGUACUAAUACACAGAUUGGAACAGCUGUAGUCUACAGUACUGUUUGGGAGACCCUCAGAAGAUAAACAACUUGUUGUCAAUAUUAACUUUAUUAUCAAUACAUGAAAGAAUUUUGAAGUUUCAACAGGUGUUCAAUGCUGAAAAAUCAAAGAACUAGGGGUAUUUGUGUGUGCUGAUUGGUAAAGUUUUAUGAAGAGGAGUCUGGCAGAGACCAUGACAUUUUCUCAUCUAAAGCUGAUCUAUGGCUAUGACAGGGAUGGUGAAA